UCGUGUAUAGGUUGAUGAUUCGGGGCUUUCCCUUUCCAUCGUAGUAGUCCCUCAAUAUUUCUAAUGCUCUUCUCCCAUUAUCAGGGGCAUCUCUCAUAAUCAGUGAGAGGCUUUUAUCGUCCAAAAAUUGGAUUAACUCGGCGUAAGCAUCAGCGUUCUUCUUACCGUCUGCCGCUACUUCAGCCUCACUGUUCGGUUCCUUCAGAACAGUGUCUCUUAAUCCCAACAAGUGCAAAUAUCCUAGCACCUUAGUUUCCCAAAGUUCAGAUUUGGUCUCAUCUCUGUCAAACAUGAGUCGAGGCAGCCGGCUUGCUCCUCGUUGAUCCAUGUUGCUAUUUAGCCGUUAGCCCGCUAUCCGUUGCGGCUCCAGAGCUUCAUAAGAAAAAACUCCUCUUCGAGUCGGCCCUGGGCCCAUAACCUGUUGAGUAUUGCAGCAUCGACAGCGAUCAACUCGAAGGAAAAUGACGACGGAGGCAAAAAUGUCCUUAAUAUUUUGGGAACUUUAUUCCACAUGAACACGACGCAAAACUUUCCUCAUGGGUGCCAUUUUGUUGUGGGUAUACUUCUUCUUAGGGGCGUGAUGACGCAGCAUACGUGCCCUUACAAUAAACAGUGCCUCCUUGUGGUGACAACUAAAAUACUGUCUCUGUUAAACAUAUUGUACAACAUGAGUACACACAAUGAAUAUCUUAACAGUAAUAUAUGAAAUAUUAGUGUUAGGUAAGUCCCAGAGUUCAGUUUAUUGGACAUUAGCUACAUUUAAUAAGAAGAUAUGAGACCCAAAUAUAUGCUUAUGUCAACACAUGUUCAUUUUGAUGAAGUUUACUGAACAAAUUUGAAUCAUCACAACAACCAAAAUGUUAGCAACACAUCAUAAAGUUUAUUAGUAUAACUAUGGUAACCAUGUUUAUGUUUGUAACCUGAUAACUCAAAUACAUUCUGUAGGUGUCACAUUCUGAGGACUGUAAGUUCACACACUUUCAGACAUUUGCAGAGAGAAGAAGUGUUUUGUAAAAACUUUACAAGUCAGAGGGAUUAUUUGCUCAAACAGCAACCAGUGCAAACAUAUUUUGCUGGACUCUAAGAAGGAGAAAGAAAACAAAAGAGGAUACUGUGGGUGUUGAAGAGGAGAAGGCCCCGCUGAAAAAAAUCGUGACAUCACGCCCAUUUAGAAUCUUACCACCACUUUGAUCCUUU